UGGGUGGAGAACCCCAUGAGAGAGUGAGGGAGCAUGAGAGAGAUAGAGGGCUUGGCUAGCACAAAGGAGCUCAGGGAGGAGUCAUGGUGGUCAGGGGUGGUACUCGGUGGGGCCGUAAUUGUUGUAUAGUGGCGCUAAGGCCAUCAGUGGUGGUGAAGCCAUAGGAGACCCAUUUUGGGAAAGGGGAAAAAGGGAGAGAAAGAGAGGUUGCCGUGGCUUGGGUUCCAUGGAGGGAGUUCACCGUUAAUAGGGGAGGCCAUGGGUGGCAGUGCAGUGGCCUGGGCGGCCACGACGGUGGUACACAUGUAGAGAAUCCUUGCUUGGAGAGGAAAAGGGAGAGAGAGGGAGAGCUGUCGUGGGGCUUCCCGUGGCUGGUGGUGGCGCCGGAGGCUGCUGGGAGGUGGUGGCGGUGAGGCUAGGUGGUCGGUGGUGGAGCUGGGCUGGAGAGGAGAAGAGAUUCAGUGCAGGGGAGAGGCCUUCCAUACAUGAGCUGAAGGAGAGGGAGGAGAGAGAGGAAAGAGAGAAAAGUGAGGGAAAAAGGCUAAGGAUCGGGUAUUUAAUCCAGGCCUUUCAUCUUGAAGUUUCAAAACGAUCUAACGAUGAUGAUUAAAACACUAAUUUAACUUAAAAGCACUAAGAGGAAUUAAGAUAAAACAUUUAAAAUAUUUGAGAGCAUUAAGACACUAGGCUUGCUUUAGAAAUCACUUAAUUUUAAAAACACGUCAUCGAGGUUUGGCACACAGAACGAGACUUGUGACCAUAAGAGAGAGAGAAAGAAGCGAGAUAUUACAAGAUCAUCAUCCCUGGCCAGUCCAACCAAGAAAGCAACAUGUCCACUAAGCAAGUCAAAAGCCCUAUGAGCAUGUCUGAGGAUCCCCAGAAUCUUGGGACCCCUUAUGAGUCAAAUAAGGCUCUCCAUUGGCCUUCUGGGGAUGUAGAGGAAAAGGUUAGUAAGAAAAGCCAAACAUUCCCUUUUUGUAUGAAAGAAAAUAGUAGGGCAACUAUCAAUAGCAACAUAGCAAAGGUAAACUCUCCCAUUAAGUCAAAACCUUCUAAAUCAUGCCCUCCCACUUGUGAACCUCGAUCAACACCACCUUUACCUACCAAAGGUAACACGGGGAAAAGAAAAGCAAGAGGACAGACUUAACCCUCUCAAACAUUAAUAAUAUCCCAAUUGCCCCUCCUCUACUCAAUAAUGCUAAAAGACCAACAUUUAUGGUCGAGACUCGAUCCAGCACCCAUGGCUUUAAGAAAACAAAAACCAAGCUCACACUUGCAAGGAGUCAAACUCAGGCACAAGUGGUGGAGGCUACUCAGCAGCCCCACCUCUCCAAAUGAAUUGCCUAAGCUGGAAUUGCCGGGGGCUUUGGAAGCCCUGGACAAUUCAUGAACUCCACCUGUUGGUGAAAUCUAAGGUCCCACACUUGGUUUUCCUCAUUAAAACUAAGUGCAACAAUGAUAAAAUGGAGAAAAUUUGAGUCAAACUGGCUUUUGAUUACUGCUUCAGUGUUAAUAGUAGGCGUAGAGGUGCUGGCUUGGCCAUACUUUGGAACUCUUAUGUGGAAGUCAAAGUGUCUGCCUACACCAACUGGCAUAUCUCAGGAUCCAUUAAGCUGUCUAGUGAUGAGACCCCUAGUUGUUAAUAGGAUUUUAUGGCCACACUAAUACUACUAAAAGAGACAAAACUUGGCAUCUCCUUAAAGAAUUAACCCCUGCACAGACUAUCCCUUGGCUGUGCUUUGGGGAUUUCAAUGAGAUCACCAGGAUCCAUCAGACCCUACAAGCAAAUCGUGGAUUUCAGGAAAGCAUUAGAGCAUUGUGAUCUAAAUGACCUUGGCUAUGAAGUAGACAAGUUUACCUGGGCCAACAAUAGAGAGGGAGGACAUUUCACUAAAGAGAGGAUUGACAAAGCUCUUGGUAAUUCUAAUUGGAUAGCUAAGUUUCAGGAACACUCAAUCCAUCACCUGGCAGCAUCCUCCUAAGACCACAAACCCCUUUUUAUUCAAACCCAGAACAAAUUUGCUAGCCACAAAGAAAGAGAGGCCCUUCAGGUAUGAAGCAAAUUGGAGUAGCAAGGACGGGUGUGAGGCCUUGAUUAAACAAACCUGGGACAAUUCCACUAAUGACACUCCCAUUGGCUUAAGAAAUUGUCAAGAUUUAAUAAGAUGGAGUAGAGAUGUGCAUAGAAGUCAUGGGGAGCUUCUAAAGGCUAAAACUAAUAUGCUCAAUUCUCUCAAAGAGACAAAUGUGGGCCAACUAUAUGCUGAAAUUAGAGACCUUUAGAAGGAAGUUGACUCACUACUAGAGGCAGGAAACACCAAGUGGCAACAAAGAGCCAAGCAAAAGUGAAGGGGACAGAAACACAGCUUUCUUCCAUCAAUGUGCUAGCUAAAGAAGAAAGCAAAACACCAUCAACAAGAUCAAAGAUGAGUCUGGUCAUGAGUUCACUAGUCAACAGGACAUAAGUCAAAUUUUUCAGAACUAUUUCCAAACUCUAUUCACUUCCUUGAGCCCCACUGGCAUUGCUGAAUGCAUAUCGUCUAUACCCAAGAAGCUCGCAGCAGAAACAAAUCUCACACUCUCGACCCUUCAAUACAACUGAAGUUAAAAAAGCCCUGUUCAAUAUGAAUCCACUGAGUUCACCUAGCCCAGAUGGAUUCUCUACUGCUUUUUCUCAAGCUAAUUGGUCCAUAGUGGGGACAAGAGUUACCACUGCUAUGAUAGCAGCUCUAAAUGAUGGCAAGUGGUCAAAUGUUCUGAAUGACACCCUCAAUGCCUUGAUCCCCAAAAAACCAUCCCCCUCACAAGUGACUGACUUCAAGCCUAUUAGUCUAUGCAAUAUUUUUUAUAAAAUCAUUGCAAAGACCUUGGCUAAUAGACUGGACCUUGUAUUGCCAGAGCUAAUAUCCCCAACUCAGACAGCCUUUGUCCUUUGUAGGCUCAUAAUAGACAAUAUCAUAGUGGCAUUAGAGUCUCUCCAUACUAUAUGAAGACAAGAAUGAAAGGUAGAGAUGGCUUCAUGACACUCAAACUCGACAUAAGUAAGGCCUCUGACAGGAUAGAGUGGCCUUUUCUGAAAUCUAUUUUGCAGCAAGCUGGUUCUGAUAAAAAAUAAAAAAUAAAACAUAAAAAAUAAAAAAUAAAAAGGUGGACUUGAUAAUGAGGUGGGUAGGGCCAGUUUCCUAUUCUCCCCUUCUUAAUGGACUUCCACAAGAUAGCUUCCAUCCAACAAGAGAGAUGAGGCAAGGGGAUCCUCUAUCCCCCUACCUAUUCACCAUGUGCACAAAAGUGCUUAGCUGCAUGCUCAACAAGGCUAAGGGGUUUGGUUUCAUCACUGGCCUACCCAUUAGAAGAAAUAAACUCUCCAUUAACCACUUAUUUUUUGCACAUGACAGCCUCCUCUUUUGCAAAUCCAACUCUAUAGAAUGGAGUAGACUUUAUCGCUUGCUGGAAUCCUAUGAGCUUGCCUCUGGUCAGAGGCUUAACAAGGAGAAAACUUCAAUAUACUUCAGUAAGAACACAAGAGAGGAAACCAAGGAAAUCAUCACCAACAUAGCAGGGAUAAGGGGCACCAAUUCCUAUGAGAAAUACCUAGGCCUAGCAACUCUCAUAGGGAGGUCUCGACCACAUUCCUUUAAAGCAUUCUGGACAAGGUGUAAGCAAGGAUCACCAACUGGAAGAACAAGUUCCUCUCCCAAGUUGGCAAAGAAAUCCUCAUUAAAGCCAUCAUCCAGACCAUCCCUGUAUUUUCAAAUUACCAAACCAACUGGUCCAGGAACUGAACAAACUAGUAAGGAGCUUCUGGUGGGGGCAGCAACAUUAGGAACACAAAAUUCAUUAGAUACAUUGGAACCAAAUGAAGAAAGCCAAGGUGGCCUGGGACUAAGGGACUUCUCAAACUUUAACUUAGCCCUACUAGUUAAAUAAGGUUGGAGAAUUGUCUUUAAACCUGAAUCUCUUGAUGCACAAGUGCUAAAGGAGAAAUAUUUUCACAACAACUCGUUCCUUUCUGCUAAACUGGGUCAAAAUACAUCAUACCUAUGGCAUAGUUUUUUAGCUGCUAGAUCUCUACUAACUGAGGGAAUGAUCUGGAGAAUUGGAGAUGGGGAAUCCACUGAAAUCUGGAAUGAUAAAUGGCUUCCUAGGUAGACCUCCUUCAACUCUCUCAACUUUAUCAUGUUCUUGCAAGCUGACACCAAAGUCUCUUUCCUCAUCGAUAAAACAACAAACCAAUGGAAAAGGGACCUGGUCUCUACCAUGUUCUUAGAGGAGGAAGCAGACCUUAUCAAAGCAAUACCCCUUAGCCCUUAUCCUAAGCCCGAUAGAUUAAUAUGGAGAUGCACCACCUCAGGAGAAUUCAGUGUUAAGAGUGCCUACCAUCUGCUAACUAAGCUGGAUGAUCAAUAGCUAGGCCAAUCCUCAAACAUAAGCACCUCACAGGCUCCCUAGACAAAACUAUGGAACCUAAACAUUCCAAAUGAAGCUAAAACAUUUAUCUAGAGGGCUUGCCUUAAUGGCCUACCUACCCGAGUCAACCUAAUGAAGAGGAAGGUCAUCGAGGACCCUGCUUGCCCAAUUUGUAAGCUGCAACCAAAAUCUGUUGAACACAUUCUAUGGAAUUGCCCCACAACUAGGGAUGUUUGGGCCGAGAGCACAGAGAAAUUACAUAAAGCUAGCCCUCUCUACCAUCCUUUCAAAGAUCUUGUAGAAGGUUUUGUGGAGACUUUGGCACCUGAGGAACUGAUGUCCUUUGCUAUCACUUUGUGGCUCAUAUAGAAAAGGAGGAAUGACAUGGUUUUCAAGGAGCUCUUUCUACACCUAACCAAGGUAAUCUACUUACUUGAUGGAGGAGCUACAGCAUAUCACUCAGUAGAAGAGGGCUCAUGCAACCAAUAGUCAGCAGCACACAAAGUGGGAAGCCCCACCUCAGGGAAGGUUAAAGCUGAAUUAGGAUGCAGCACUCGAUAAAGCUUCUUACAAAGUGGGAGUGGGAGCAGUUAUUAGAGAUUGGGAGGGAUAAGUGUUAGCCACCCUCAGAAUGCAACAUGAUUUGUACCCUGAUCCCCUUAUGGCAGAAGCUUAUGCUACAUUUCAAGCAUCCUCAUUUUGCAAGUCCAUCAACUACUGAGACAUCAUCAUGGAAGUUGACUCUCUGCGGGUUGUAUCAGGCCUCAACUCAUCAACAAAUAACCAAACCUAUGUAGGCUAGCAAAUAGCAGACACAAGAUCAACCCUCAACUCUUUUACUUUUUGGUCAGCAAGGCACACUGUGAGAGCAAACAAUUAUGUUGCUCAUGCCUCAAGCAAGGAUGCUCUAAGCAUCAGUGGUUAUACCACUUCUUUUGAUUUCAUUCCUCAUUGUAUCCAAACUUUGGUCUAAUUAUUCUCAAUACAGGAUACGUUUUCUUCAAAAAAAUAAAAGAUGAAAGAAGAUUCUAUGAGUUGUAAUGUUGGUACAACCUAUGGGAUUGGUUGUGACUCUUCUUCUAUUUCAGUGGAUGUGGAGGAGUAUGGUAGUCUUCCAACUCCUUUAUCCACAUGUACACAACACCCUACCCACUAUAUCCCACCUUUACCCAAGAAAUCCAUAAAAACACAUAACAAUCAAUCGGUGGCAUGGGAACACUUUACUAAAGUGGAACUUAUUGACCUUUAUCACUAGAACCAUGGGCUAACAUGAAAAGUAAGUAUGACAAGUAUUGGGGUGGUACAUAUAGGUUUGACUUGAUAAUAUAUGUUGUUUUUGGGCUUGAUCCACAACACAAAAUGAUGGCAAUGAAGUUUUGGUUGAAAAAGUAUAAAGGGGAUGAGUUGGCAAAUAGGAUAAAGGCCAAGGUUAAACUUCUUUUACGCCGCUUGAGCAAUACAACACAUUUCAUGUGACUAGUGGGGGGAUUUCUAAUGUGGCUCAAGGGAGGCCAAUCACUACUUCUACAAACAUUGGUAAUGAGCCAGCACCAUCUCUACCUAAAUUUGAUAUCAUGUUAGAUAAAUACCCUGAGGAGUAAGGUUUUAUAGAGUUUAGAUCAAAGCUAGAUAGGUAUUUUUCAGAGGCGUGUGCACAAAAAUCACCCGGUUUUGAUAUUUGGGAUUGGUGGAGGAUUAAUGCUACCAAUUAUCCUAUCAUUGCCAAGGUAGCACAUGAUGUGUUAGCCACCCUAUUUUCACUAUUACCUCAGAGCCCGCAUUCAGUACUGGAGGACACAUCUUGGAUCUUUUUAGGAGUUCAUUGUCUCCAGAGAUUGUCGAAGCCCUCAUUUGCACCCAAAAUUAGUUAAGGACCAAACCAGUUGACAUUCGGGAGUUGGAAGAAUACAUACAAUCGAUUGACCUUGAAGCUUUCAGUUUGGGUGGCUGCAGAGAACAGACUUGAAGUUGCUAUUUGGUGUGAGAUUAAGGGGAGAGGUUUGGAAAGUGAGUUGAAAUGAGAUGAACUGAGAUCAAAGUUGAAUAAACUAUUAUUAUAAUAUUAUUUUUUAAUAUUAAUAUUGUUUCAAGAUUUAAAAAAGUUAUAAUGAUUAGAUAAGAUGAGUUGAGAUGAGUUGGCGGGACUUUUGUAUCCAAACCGAAAAAUCAUAGAUGGGAGAUCAUGUUACUGAUAUGUAACUCAUAUCUUAUAAUUUUGUGUUUUGUAAUGUAAAGUAUAAAUACAAAAUAAUGUGAUAUGUAGUGCAUUGCAUUGCGUGUUGCAUGCAUUUAACA